CACCUGGAAAAAGAAAAUGCCUCCACGAGAUCUACCUGUUCCUGCACUGCUUAAGAUCCAGUCCUGACUUCCUUUGGGGAUGAACGUGGUUUAAAGAUUAUAUGCGGCAUGGCAUGAGUUCCAUUUUACUCUGUGUCACUCUUGGCCACUCUGUUCUGCACCACAAACACUUCCGUGGCCCGGAGAGGACCUUCCCCAGUCCACCGUGCGGCAGAGUACAGUAGAGGGUAGAGAAGUCCACACGCUCAGCAUCUCUCAGGUAAAAGCAAGCGAUCGCUAU